GGAGCAACCAGGAUUAGAUCCCUGGUAGUCCACGCCGUAACCGAUGAAUACUAGGUGUCGGCAUGCAAAAGCAUGUCGGUCCGUCGCAAACGCCAUUAAGUAUCCACCUGGGAGUACGUUCGCAAGAAUGAAACUCAAAGGAAUUGACGGGGACCGCACAAGCGGUGAGCAUGUGGUUUAAUUCGAAGCAACGCGAAGACCCUUACCAAGUCUUGACAUCGAUCUGACAGAGAGGGUAAUGCCUCUUUUCCUUCGGGACAGAGAAGACAGGUGGUGCAUGGUUGUCGUCAGCUCGUGUCGUGAGAUGUUGGGUUAAGUCCCGCAACGAGCGCAACCCUUAUCCUUAGUAGCCAGCACGCAGAGGUGGGCACUCUAGGGAGACUGCCAGGGACAACCUGGAGGAAGGCGGGGAUGACGUCAAAUCAUCAUGCCCCUUAUGAUUUGGGCUACACACGUGCUACAAUGGCGUAAACAAAGGGAAGCGAGAAGGUGACUUUCAGCGAAUCCCAAAAAUAACGUCCCAGUUCGGACUGUAGUCUGCAACCCGACUACACGAAGCUGGAAUCGCUAGUAAUCGCGGAUCAGCAUGCCGCGGUGAAUACGUUCCCGGGUCUUGUACACACCGCCCGUCACACCAUGGGAGUCAGUAAUGCCCGAAGCCUGUGACCCAACCUACGGGAGGGAGCAGUCGAAGGCAGGACUGAUAACUGGGGUGAAG
rnacentral:rRNA from 1 species